UACAGAGGGGGCAAGCGUUAUUCGGAAUUAUUGGGCGUAAAGGGCGCGUAGGCGGCCUGGCAAGUGGAUGGUGAAAUCCCUCGGCUUAACCGAGGAACUGCCAUCCAGACUGCUUGGCUUGAGACCGGGAGAGGUGAGUGGAAUUCCCAGUGUAGCGGUGAAAUGCGUAGAUAUCAGGAGGAACACCGGUGGUGUAGACGGCUUUCUGGACCGUAACUGACGCUGAGACACGAAAGCGUGGGUAGCAAACAGG
rnacentral:rRNA from 1 species